UACGUAGGGUCCGAGCGUUGUCCGGAAUUACUGGGCGUAAAGGGCGCGUAGGCGGUUCGCUAAGUUGGAUGUGAAAACUCUGGGCUUAACCCAGAGCCUGCAUCCAAAACUGGCGAACUGGAGUACUGGAGGGGAAAGCGGAAUUCCUGGUGUAGCGGUGAAAUGCGCAGAUAUCAGGAGGAACACCGGUGGCGAAGGCGGGUCUCUGGGCCGAUACUGACGCUGAGGAGCGAAAGCGUGGGGAGCGAACAGG
rnacentral:rRNA from 1 species